rnacentral:lncRNA from 1 species
CGUCGUUGCCCUUCGCCAUCCUAGCUUCCUCUCUCUCUCCACCACUUGUCGGAUCCCAACACCAUGACCGCCUCAGCUGCUGAGAUCCGCCGCGCCCAUUAGAUAUUUUUUUGACACUUUGAAUAUGUGUUUCGGAUCUAGGAAUCGGGUCCAAAUACCCAGGACCUAUUAGGAUUCAGGUCUGGUACUUCAAGGCCAGACCCAUUGGGU